rnacentral:rRNA from 1 species
AUUGAACGCUGGCGGCAGGCCUAACACAUGCAAGUCGAGCGGAUGAAGGGAGCUUGCUCCUGGAUUCAGCGGCGGACGGGUGAGUAAUGCCUAGGAAUCUGCCUGGUAGUGGGGGAUAACGUCCGGAAACGGGCGCUAAUACCGCAUACGUCCUGAGGGAGAAAGAGGGGGGUCUUCGGACCUCACGCUCUCAGAUGAGCCUAGGUCGGAUUAGCUAGUUGGUGGGGUAAAGGCCUACCAAGCCGACGAUCCGUAAGUGGUCUGAGAGGAUGAUCAGUCACACUGGAACUGAGACACGGACCAGACUCCUACGGGAGGCAGCAGUGGGGAAUAUGGGACAAUGGGCGAAAGCCUGAUCCAGCCAUGCCGCGUGUGUGAAGAAGGUCUUCGGAUUGUAAUGCACUUUAAGUUGGGAGGAAGGGCAGUAAGUUAAUACCUUGCUGUUUUGACGUUACCAACAGAAUAAGCACCGGCUAACUUCGUG